rnacentral:rRNA from 1 species
UUACGGAGAGUUUGAUCCUGGCUCAGGAUGAACGCUGGCGGCGUGCUUAACACAUGCAAGUCGAACGAUGAAGCCCAGCUUGCUGGGUGGAUUAGUGGCGAACGGGUGAGUAACACGUGAGUAACCUGCCCUUAACUCUGGGAUAAGCCUGGGAAACUGGGUCUAAUACCGGAUAGGAGCGUCCACCGCAUGGUGGGUGUUGGAAAGAUUUAUCGGUUUUGGAUGGACUCGCGGCCUAUCAGCUUGUUGGUGAGGUAAUGGCUCACCAAGGCGACGACGGGUAGCCGGCCUGAGAGGGUGACCGGCCACACUGGGACUGAGACACGGCGCAGACUCCUACGGGAGGCAGCAGUGGGGAAUAUUGCACAAUGGGCGAAAGCCUGAUGCAGCGACGCCGCGUGAGGGAUGACGGCCUUCGGGUUGUAAACCUCUUUCAGUAGGGAAGAAGCGAAAGUGACGGUACCUGCAGAAGAAGCACCGGCUAACUACGUGCCAGCAGCCGCGGUAAUACGUAGGGUGCGAGCGUUAUCCGGAAUUAUUGGGCGUAAAGAGCUCGUAGGCGGUUUGUCGCGUCUGUCGUGAAAGUCCGGGGCUUAACCCCGGAUCUGCGGUGGGUACGGGCAGACUAGAGUGCAGUAGGGGAGACUGGAAUUCCUGGUGUAGCGGUGGAAUGCGCAGAUAUCAGGAGGAACACCGAUGGCGAAGGCAGGUCUCUGGGCUGUAACUGACGCUGAGGAGCGAAAGCAUGGGGAGCGAACAGGAUUAGAUACCCUGGUAGUCCAUGCCGUAAACGUUGGGCACUAGGUGUGGGGACCAUUCCACGGUUUCCGCGCCGCAGCUAACGCAUUAAGUGCCCCGCCUGGGGAGUACGGCCGCAAGGCUAAAACUCAAAGGAAUUGACGGGGGCCCGCACAAGCGGCGGAGCAUGCGGAUUAAUUCGAUGCAACGCGAAGAACCUUACCAAGGCUUGACAUGUUCCCGAUCGCCGUAGAGAUACGAUUUCCCCUUUGGGGCGGGUUCACAGGUGGUGCAUGGUUGUCGUCA